CUGCACCCGAUACUAACCUGACUGUCUGCAGCCCAUGAGUUCGUUGUUGCGCUCUGGGAUGAGUGCUGGUGUGGCUGUCAGGUUCAAGAGAGGUGCCAGAUAAACUAACAUCCGAGAGAUUUAAGCACAAGGUGUGAAGGCCUAUGCCCUGUGUUAUGACUCCCGGAACAGAC